rnacentral:rRNA from 1 species
GNAGGGGGCAAGCAUNAUCCGGAUCUACUGGGUGUAAAGGGAGCGUAGACGGCAUGGCAAGCCAGAUGUGAAAGCCCGGGGCUCAACCCCGGGACUGCAUUUGGAACNGUCAGGCUAGAGUGUCGGAGAGGAAAGCGGAAUUCCUAGUGUAGCGGUGAAAUGCGUAGAUAUUAGGAGGAACACCAGUGGCGAAGGCGGCUUUCUGGACGNUGACUGACGUUGAGGCUCGAAAGCGUGGGGAGCAAACAGGAUUAGAUACCCUGGUAGUCCACGCAGUAAACGAUGAUAACUCGUUGUCGGCGAUACACAGUCGGUGACUAAGCGAAAGCGAUAAGUUAUCCACCUGGGGAGU